GGAUGACGGCCUAUCGGGUUGUAAACCUCUUUUAGCAGGGACGAAGCGUAAGUGACGGUACCUGCAGAAAAAGCACCGGCUAACUACGUGCCAGCAGCCGCGGUAAUACGUAGGGUGCGAGCGUUGUCCGGAUUUAUUGGGCGUAAAGAGCUCGUAGGCGGCUUGUCGCGUCUGCCGUGAAAACUUGAGGCUCAACCCCAAGCCUGCGGUCGAUACGGGCAGGCUAGAGUGCGGUAGGGGAGAUUGGAAUUCCUGGUGUAGCGGUGAAAUGCGCAGAUAUCAGGAGGAACACCGGUGGCGAAGGCGGAUCUCUGGGCCGAUACUGACGCUGAGGAGCGAAAGCGUGGGGAGCGAACAGGAUUAGAUACCCUGGUAGUCCAUGCUGUAAACGUUGGGCGCUAGGUGUGGGGGGCCCCUCCGGUUUCCUGUGUCGUAGCUAACGCAUUAAGCGCCCCGCCUGGGGAGUACGGCCGCAAGGCUAAAACUCAAAGGAAUUGACGGGGGCCCGCACAAGCGGCGGACCAUGCCGAUUAAUUCGAUGCAACGCGAAGAACCUUA
rnacentral:rRNA from 1 species